ensembl:lncRNA
AAAGUUUUGCGAGGGAACGCAAAUGUUUUGCGAGAGAACGCAAAAGUUUUGCGAGGGAACGCAAAUGUUUUGCGAGAGAACGCAAAAGUUUUGCGAGGGAACGCAAAAGUUUUGCGAGAGAACGCAAAAAAAUUAAAAAUAUAUUUUUUCCUCCCACCCCAAAUUUUUUCACUCACUCUGAUUUUUUUCCACCACAAUGAACCUUAAGGGGCUCCGUACAAAUGAAGUUCUUUGUUUGUGCAAAAAAUAAAAUAUUAAUCUUCAAAUGCACGUUCACAAGAGCAGCGUACUACAUGAGGUUAAAAUGAAUAAAGUCAUGUUGCUGUUACUGGUGGGACCGAAAGCUCUCUUUGAAAAGAUAACAUUGAAGAUCUUCAUUUGUGUUCAGAAGAUGAACAAAAGUCUUAAAGCUUUGGAACGACAUGAGGGUGAGUAAAUGAUGACAGAAUUGUCAUUUUUGGGUGAACUAAAACUCUAAAAGCGCUUAACUGCACCACAUCUGGUGGUCUUCAGCCUACCUGCCCUUAAUGUUGAUAUGCCACUAAUGUGGGAUACUAUAAUACUUCACAUGAUUUACUAUAAACAAACUGUUUGCUUUUAUGCUAAUUUUUUUUUUUUUUUUUUUUUUUUUUUUUUUUUUUUUUGCUAUGUUUUGACCAUACUAAUGUGUCUUUUUUAUUUUAGAAUUGAGUGUCUAUGGUGUGAUGUUUCUUCAGCUGUCUCUUGUGGCUGGAGUAACCCCCCUAAUGCCAGCCAGUUCAAGUACACUCAGAAGACACAGUGAGGGUCGUCAGGGCAGAAGAGAGGGUCAUUCGUCAGGCAUCAGCAAGUAGCAGACGAUCACAGUCCCUCAAACUGCUAGAG